rnacentral:rRNA from 1 species
CUACGGGGGGCUGCAGUGAGGAAUAUUGCACAAUGGGGGGAACCCUGAUGCAGCAACGCCGCGUGGAGGAUGACGCAUUUCGGUGUGUAAACUCCUUUUAUAUGUCAAGAAAAUGACGGUAGCAUAUCAAUAAGCACCGGCUAACUCCGUGCCAGCAGCCGCGGUAAUACGGAGGGUGCAAGCGUUACUCGGAAUCACUGGGCGUAAAGGACGCGUAGGCGGGUUGGAAAGUCAGGUGUGAAAUCCUACAGCUUAACUGUAGAACUGCACUUGAAACUUCUAAUCUAGAGUAUGGGAGGGGUAGAUGGAAUUAGUGGUGUAGGGGUAAAAUCCGUAGAUAUCACUAGGAAUACCUAAAGCGAAGGCGAUCUCCUGGAACAUUACUGACGCUAAGGCGUGAAAGCGUGGGGAGCAAACAGGAUUAGAUACCCGGGUAGUC